rnacentral:tRNA from 1 species
GCUAGCAUGGCGUAGUGGAUUGAAUGUUGGACUAUGACUCUGCAGACCAGGGUUCGAUUCCCAGCUCAGCC